rnacentral:tRNA from 1 species
GGGCCCGUAGCUCAGCUGGAUAGAGCAACGGACUUCUAAUCCGUAGGUCGCAGGUUCGAGUCCUGCCGGGCCUGCCA